ensembl:lncRNA
GUCCUACCUGCUAAACAGCUUUCCUUACAUUGACCAGAUUCGACAGUGCCUUUUCCAGUUGGGCACGGCAAGUUGUGGCUUGUACAGGGACCUCCUGAGAUCAGAACUUCUUGCAGUGAGGAUGGCACUGGAAAGUUCCCAAGGUAAUUGGACAGGAGAAUUCGAUUUCUUAAUGGAUCAGCUACGUGUAGCCAUCAUGACCGUGAACUCCACACGUGCAGAUGCUAGACUGGCUAUGGGAUUGUCAUCUUGGAUUGAGGCUGCUAUGAAUCAUCUGAGGGAGUGGGCGGGUAUGGGAACCCUAGCUUGACUCUUGCUGCUGGUCUCCCUAGUGUGCCUGUGGUGUCUCUGUUGAAUGAGGUUUGUUCAGAGGCGGCACGCGGUUAUGGUGGUACAGGUAUUUGCAGCCAUUAAAUC